rnacentral:lncRNA from 1 species
GUUACCGGAACGGCGGCGACAAGGGUGUUCCCGAACUAGAGUGGGGCAUACAUAAUCUUGCUGCUAUGCUUCGAAGCUGUAGUCUGAAUCAACCUAAGUUUUAAACAGAAGGUGAACCUCUGAGGUCAGUUUAAAUAGCAGUUGGUGUGUCUUCUUGGUGUUUCCUAUUUAUUUGUUAACUCUUAAUUAAAGUUGUAAGCGAAGUUACUUUUCAAGGGCUCUGAUAACCUAUUUAGCCUUAAAGGAGUCUAAAGGCGUACUUGGGAAACUGGACAGGACAAAAAGGGGAGGAAGAAGGAAACACUGAACAGAGGUUAGAAAAAAAUAUAUUUAACUUGGAACUGAUACCCAAACCAGUUGUUGGCCUCAUUUGUGCUAUGUAGUGCCUAUUUUGCCAUAUUCUAAUAAUGUCAUUGUAAUUGAUUACAUUAGUGUAACUUGAAGACAGGUACAUUUGACUCAUAAGUAAAUCAAGGUGACAAAGAAAUACACCUCCCAUAACUCACAGUGUUCUUCAUUUGAGGGAUUAGUAUCUGCCGCAGAUAGAACUAUACCUGUAUGGCAUUCUGGGAAUGCUGCGAAGACUGGAGUUGGAAACCUUUAAAAGCCUGAAUUGUAAUCGCCAAUUGUCCUAUUAGAGUUAAUAUCUCUAUUUUUUUUGUUAUCCAACUUGCCUACUUUUUGUGAUCCUGCAAUACAAAGGCUUGCUUUUAUCUUGUUUUUAGCAUACAGGAAAGGAUCAAUCUAGAAGGAUUCAUUUAGUAAACAUUUAUUAAAUGCCUGCUAUGAACUAAGCCUUGGGAUACAAAAAUAAAGAAGAAACCAUGCCCUGGUUAUGUGAGUCACUGGUUCUUGAACAGGGUUGUGUAUCAGUGUUGGAAUAAAGUACAAAGAUAUUAGACUUGUAAGACUUUUAAACCUUUUAUUAGGAAUGUUUUCAGACUAGCUUACAGAAAAGUUGGGCUAGUGUGAUGAUUCCCCCCCAUACCAUCUCCUAAAUUAAUAGUUAUUAACAUAAAGUACCUUCCCUCCCAUCUUUUCCAUGCUAUUUAUAUGUUAAGAAACCAGGUCUUGGAGGCUGUCUUACUUUCUGGAUUUAAUACCGUUUAUCUCAUUUCUUUAUCCUUUAAAAUUGCUUUAUAUUGGAAGUAAAAUCCAAAAGCUCAGUUGGACUCAGUUAAACAUUUUUGAUGAGAAUUCUUAGUGAUUCUGGGAGCAUAGUAGACACCUAAUAAUCUGUAGGGGUGAUAUUUUGGCAACCUUUGAAUUUCUGAUUUCUCAUCAACUUUUCUUGUAAGGUUUCCUGAAUUAAUAUUUUAUUACUUUUGGCAAUAUGAUAGUUUUCUAAUUCUGUUCUACAUUCUUCAUUUUUUUAGCUGUAAUUAUUUAUAAGGAAAAAUUUUUCUUCAUCUGCUGAAGCUAUUUGGUUACUAUCUUAAAGGAAUCUUGAUUGGGGAGAAAUGAAAUCACUUUUUUCCUACAAUCUUCAAAAUAAUUACAUAUCCAGAAAUUUAUAUUGUACAAAAAAUAGAGUUUUUUUUAAAGUCUUUUUUGAGCUAAAUUCAUUGUGUUAUGCUUGCCACCAAAUUCUGAGACCAGCAUUAACAUAAAAUUUUCUACCUCGUUUGGUACCCUAAAAAUUCUAGUUGCCUCUGGCAAGCUAUUGACAAGAAUUUUAGACCUCUGAUGAAAUAAAUGUAUCAUCAUAUAAUAAUUUCUGAUGUGAGGUUUUAAGAUUAAAUAACUCACUAUAAUUUUUAAACUAUGUUUAAUUUAUUGAAGAUAGAAAAUCAAGUAUAUUUUAAAAGAAGGGAUGUGGGAUCAAGGAGGACAGCCUUGGCAGCAGUGGCCCUUGAACCAGCAACAAUGGAUGCAGUCAUUCCAGCACCAACAGGAUCCAAGCCAGAUUGAUUGGGCUGCAUUGGCCCAAGCUUGGAUUGCCCAAAGAGAAGCUUCAGGACAGCAAAGCAUGGUAGAACAACCACCAGGAAUGAUGCCAAAUGGACAAGAUAUGUCUACAAUGGAAUCUGGUCCAAACAAUCAUGGGAAUUUCCAAGGGGAUUCAAACUUCAACAGAAUGUGGCAACCAGGUUUGUUGUUUAUGUUUUCACAAUUUUAAGACUUUUAAAAAACAGAAUGAAGAUUAUUAUUAAAUUUUUUAAUUUGCUUAGUUGUAUGACUUCUGGAAAUUAAUGCUUCUUAAAGAAUAGGCAGUUUUCAAUUUGAUUUGACUUUGACAUUUUGUGGUUAAAAUUAUUCUGUACUCAUUCUGCUAGCUUUGUGGCACUCAGUUUGAUUCUUUUCUUGGUUCUUCAUUCCUAGGCUGACAGGGGCUGGGAACACUCUGGAAACCUCACUUGGCAUCUAGGGAAGAGAGCAUUCUUUGUCUCUCUAUUGCAACCUCUGGCCUUUUCAGAAGCAGCACUGGCAGAGUAAAACAUGUCUAGCCUCUAAUUAAAGAAAAAUUGUGUCACUGUGUGACAAAUUAGUCUGUCAAAUAUACUCUGCCCCUACCAUCCGCCUACCUUUUUCUUCCCUUUUUUUUUUUCAGAUAGUGAAGAUCUUUCAUAAGUUUUUGUGUGUUUUACUUUUUUGUUUGUUUUAUUUCACAGUAUGAUGUAGAUUUCUUGAUGCUAAUUCAGUCUUCCAUGGCUUGUGUUAUUCCUUUUUAAUAGUCACUUGAAACUAUGGAGGAAUCAGCCUCUCAUUUGGGUAUGCUGAUGGUGAAGUCAUAACCUCCUUUCCCUAUUAAUACUUUUUGUUUCUCCUUAUAAGAAUGGAGACCUCAGUCGAGACCAGCCUGGGCAACAUAGCAAGGCCCUGUCUCUACAAAAAAAAAAAAAAAAAAAA